CGAAUCGGAGGGAGGUGAUGUCCAUUUCAAGCAGAGCGGAGCUCAACAGCGGCUUUCUGCUCAAGAGAUGUCAGCUGAUCGGACAGAUUGCUCAACAUAUUACAAGGAAACAAGAUAGUAAACGUGUUGCGCGUUUAGCUGUAGGAUUAUAGAUGUUUUACGCAGGACUCGGAAACCUCAUGCUAGCUCGAAUAGCUGGCUUUGAUUUUAAUUUGCUAAAUGCAAAUUAAGAUUGCCACCACCAAAGAAAACCUCACCACCACUUUACAAAAGGCUCCGUUUAUUCUAUUAUUAUAAUCACAUAUCACAUAUGAUUUUAAUCCUUUAAAAUAUGUUGGUAUUAUUUAUAGAAACAAAUGUAUAAGUUCAAUAGGGACAUUAGCAUCCAAAUACUGAAUGCUUUGUGCAUGUUUGGAAUAUUCGGUCUGAUUUAAUGGCCACAGGACGAGUGAAAUAGGAGCUUGCUGCAGGGGAGAAGACAGGCUUGAGACGAGUGCGAAUGGAGCUGUUCGAUGGUACUAAUUUCCGUGAUGACGUCGAUCAGGAACGGCUGUGUGAGAUUGAUUUGUUGGUGUGAUCCCUCCCGAAAUCCAGUUAAUGACUUGCAUUUCGCGUGACCGUAAAAACGAAGCACAUCACUCACCGUGACCCAAAAUGCCUUUGAAAGUGAAACUCUAAAGUAACUGCUAAAGUUAACUUAUGUAUGAAAAUACAAAGGUACUGUUUCCGUUCUAGCUCAGAUACAUUUAUUUACAAAAGGAGUUCUGUACAACGCAAAGCGAGUUGGCGAGCAGUUCCUUCGAACGUCGGAUUUGCGAGUCUGAGUAACUUCCAGUCACGUCAAACAAAUGAAGCAUUUUUGACAUGGUCAUAUGUAGGACGUUAAAAGAAAAAAUAAAGAUUUUGUAUUAACAUUAAUAGAAAACCCUGCAUUUUCUACCGUAUGGAUGCAACUUUAAAACUGCUACAUGAUGAAUAGGUUUUGAAUUGAUUUUACAUGACUGCAAACUGCAAGUCAAAAGACCCAAGGAAGUGUGUGAACUGACAUGUUCGGGAGGACUUCCUGUUCGUAAAAAACUUAACUUGUUUCAUGACAGAGGACCAAGGCUAGCGGCUUUUCUUGUGCCGCGUUGAGAUAAAUGGAAAUUCCCCGAAAACUGGGAAAUCCCGAAGACAUAAAAAGAGCGAUCGCUUGUCGUGCAGGUAGCAGCACUUUGCCAGAGUCUUUAGUGGAGCUCAGCAUGCAGACAUCUCAUAGGAAUGAUCCGGCCCACGGGCUGAGACAGGUGCAAAGCGAGUCCUUCUUCUGGGAGGAGACAGAACAAGAGCAGCUGCAAUCAAGCUCUGGAACUCGCGCAAGAUGUAUGUCCUGUUUCUCUGGGAUCUACGAGAAGCUUAAAUGUCGUUUCUUCACACGCAGAAACCAGACUGAAACAGCUGAAACUGAGGAUCUUUCAACUCCCGUUCAAGAGACUGAGCCGGUACAAUUCCAGAGCUCUGUUCGUCCUUGGUUUGAUUUGUGAACAACACACUAGAUUGUUUAUAUUUAUUUUUUUAUACUUCAGUUGUAUAUAUUUUAAUUCGGUGCUACAUUUUAUGCUGCUUUCCAGAAAAUCCUGAUGACUGAGCCUGCUUUCCAAAAUUAUUGAAGGAUUUCAACUACUGUUCACUUAACACUCCUUACACACCCCCUGCAGAAAAUGAUUUUGAUUAUAACUUGAUAUCAUAAAAUGAUAUCUUAUCAUAUAUAUUUUUAAACCAAUUUUAUGUGUAUCUAUUUGUGUCAGCCAUAACAAGCACAGGAUCCAAAAUCUUUAUCUUUCUUAUUAGAAAAUGCACAGAUUCAGAAAUAAGGUUUAUAAGGUCAGUUACAGGGAACGAUAAGCUGAACUGAUUAAGACACCCAGGGAACUGAUGUUUACAGUAUUUCUCAAGAAUAUUUAUUUCGGAGAGUUUGUACAAAAUACACAGAGAAACUGAAAAAAUAAUUAUAGUGUACAUUGCACGUUAUUGUUAUUAAUAACAAUACUCUCCUGUUUCUUCUGAAGGAUAUAAUGCUAUUGUGUAAAUAAAAUAAAUUAUCCUGAUAUUAAAAUUAUCCAAAAAUAAAGUGCAAAACAAUUCAACAGAAAGGAAGAAUAGAGUGAGCAUCAAUCAAGUCAGUAUCUCAAAUAAUUCCUUUUAUUUGCAGUGGGAGCUUAUGACUAGCUUAUGUAAUUAAAUUAAAUAUGCCUUUGCCCCCAAUUUAAGCAUUUUAAACUACAAACAAAAUAUAAAACAUAAAAUGCUUGCCAUAUGAGACAGGCAUGACCAACCUUUCUUUUUGCAGUCUAUCAAAAGCUUCCAAAUGUUUGAUUUAGAGUUUUAAACCUACCCCUGUUAAAGUAUUUUAGAUUUAAAAAUGAUUUGUUAAGUUGUGCAAUAAUUUAGAACUUUGAAAAGCACUGUGGGCUCUGCUAGAGUUCAUAUAUUUUGACAUUGUUCUAAUGAGACAAACUGAAUGUGUCAUGAAAACAGGAGAUGUUGUUCUGUAUCAUGCACUAUAAUGGUUUCACUGUGGCAUUAUCAGAUAUAGUCUACGUUGUUAUGCAGGUGAACAAGUAAAGGUUUAUUCUAUGCUGAAUA